CACAGGUGCCGCCUCUCCGCCGGUGCUCCCGUUACCCGCUCACCCCAGACCGAGCCCCCGCCUCGCUCCCUCACGCCCCGGGCCGCGACCCCGGCGUUCCCCGGGAAGUGCUGCCCGGCCAGCCCGCCGUGGCCGCCGCUGAGGGCGCAGACGGGCGAGCCGGAACCGCUCUCCGCAGAAACGCAUCUCCAGACAGAUUUUUGGGAAGGAUUUGAGUGCUCUGGAGAAGUGUUUGGGCUCUCUUGUGAGGGGGUUGCCCCAGGAUCCAUGCUGAUGGAAGCCAAGGCCAGGGCAUUGUCCCUCACCCCACAGGAAUCAUUCCCCAGAUCCCCAUCACUGCCACCUUCCUGGGAUCCAGAUCCACCUGGAGAGACUGAAAUACAAAACAGCAACAAAAUAAAGCAGAUCCCACAGAAUCCAUAAGGCUGGAAAAGACCUCUGGGAUCAUCCUAUAAUCCCAAGUGAAGCCAAGAACUCCUCUGGAGAUCAGCAGGUGAUAUCAGCCUCCCAAAAUAAGAGCUGUUCCAGGAGGAAGAGGAUGCUGAGCCAAGGCAUGCAAGUAUUUCCUUAAGGAAUUUCCUCCUGUUGAUUACAGUUUUCCAUGAAAUAUUUACAUGGCUACAGCUUCAGUUGUGCUGCUGCCCUGAUGCUGUCACACUCAUAAACCGCUUUGUAAUAAUUAAAUUUAGUUCAUUAAAUUCCUUGCUA